GAUGAACGCUGGCGGCGUGCCUAAUACAUGCAAGUCGAGCGAACAGACGAGGAGCUUGCUCCUCUGACGUUAGCGGCGGACGGGUGAGUAACACGUGGAUAACCUACCUAUAAGACUGGGAUAACUUCGGGAAACCGGAGCUAAUACCGGAUAAUAUAUUGAACCGCAUGGUUCAUUAGUGAAAGACGGUUUUGCUGUCACUUAUAGAUGGAUCCGCGCCGCAUUAGCUAGUUGGUAAGGUAACGGCUUACCAAGGCAACGAUGCGUAGCCGACCUGAGAGGGUGAUCGGCCAAACUGGAAAUGAGAAACGGUCCAGACUCCUACGGGAGGCAGCAGUAGGGAAUCUUCCGCAAUGGGCGAAAGCUUGACGGAGCAACGCCGCGUGAGUGAUGAAGGUCUUCGGAUCGUAAAACUCUGUUAUUAGGGAAGAACAAAUGUGUAAGUAACUAUGCACGUCUUGACGGUACCUAAUCAGAAAGCCACGGCUAACUACGUG
rnacentral:rRNA from 1 species